CCUACGGGUGGCUGCAGUGAGGAAUAUUGGUCAAUGGCCGGAAGGCUGAACCAGCCAAGCCGCGUGAAGGACGAAGGUGCCACGCAUUGUAAACUUCUUUUGUCAAGGGACACAAUCCGGCUCGAGAGCCUUACCGAGGGUACUUGCAGACAAAGCAUCGGCUAACUCCGUGCCAGCAGCCGCGGUAAUACGGAGGCUGCGAGCGUUAUCCGGAUUUAUUGGGUUUAAAGGGUGCGUAGGCGUACUGUUAAGUCAAGGGUGAAAUCCCCGCGCGCAACGUGGGAACUGCCUUUGAAACUGGCAAACUGGAGUGUGUGAGAGGAUAGUGGAAUUACAGGUGUAGGAGUGAAAGCCGUAGAAAUCUGGAGGAACAUCAGUGGCGAAGGCGACUAUCUGGAACAUAACUGACGCUGAGGAGCGAAAGCGUGGGUAGCAAACAGGAUUAGAUACCCGGGUAGUC
rnacentral:rRNA from 1 species